AGUGAACGCUGGCGGCGUGCUUAACACAUGCAAGUCGAACGAGAACGGAUUAUAGCUUGCUAUAAUUGUCAGCUAAGUGGCGCACGGGUGAGUAAUGUAUAGGUAAUAUGCCUCUUACUAAGGGAUAACAAAUGGAAACGUUUGCUAAUACCUUAUACUCCUUAUUAACAGAAGUUAAUAAGGGAAAGAUUUAUUGGUAAGAGAUUAGCCUGUAUUGUAUCAGUUAGUUGGUGGGGUAAUGGCUUACCAAGACUAUGACACAUAACUGGUUUGAGAGGAUGAUCAGUCACACUGGAACUGGGACGCGGUCCAGACUCCUACGGGAGGCAGCAGUGGGGAAUAUUGCACAAUGGACGAAAGUCUGAUGCAGCAACGCCGCGUGGAGGAUGACACAUUUCGGUGCGUAAACUCCUUUUAUAUGAGAAGAUAAUGACGGUAUUAUAUGAAUAAGCACCGGCUAACUCCGUGCCAGCAGCCGCCGUAA
rnacentral:rRNA from 1 species